GACGAACCGUGCGAACGUUGUUCGGAUUCACUGGGCUUAAAGGGCGCGUAGGCGGGUGUUCAAGUCCGGGGUGAAAUCCUCCAGCUUAACUGGAGAACUGCCCCGGAUACUGAUCGCCUCGAGGGAGAUAGGGGCAUGUGGAACUUCGGGUGGAGCGGUGAAAUGCGUAGAUAUCCGAAGGAACGCCGGUGGCGAAAGCGACGUGCUGGAUCUCUUCUGACGCUGAGGCGCGAAAGCUAGGGGAGCAAACGGG
rnacentral:rRNA from 1 species